rnacentral:lncRNA from 1 species
AUGGCGCCCGAGGAGAACGCUGGGACCUAACUCUUGCUGCAGAGUUUGCAGCGCCGCUUUCUGGCGGCGCGCGCGCUGCGCUCCUUCCCCUGGCAGAGCUUAGAAGCAAAAUUAACAGACUCAUCAGAUUCUGAGCUUCUGCGGGAUAUUUUGCAGAAGACUGUGAAGCAUCCUGUGUGUGUGACGCACCCGCCGUCAGUCAAGUAUGCCCGGUGCUUUCUCUCAGAACUCAUCAAAAAGCACGAGGCUGUCCACACGGAGCCUUUGGACGAGCUGUAUGAGGUGCUGGUGGAGACCCUGAUGGCCAAGGAGUCCACUCAGGGCCACUGGAGCUAUUUGCUGCCCUCAGGAGGCUCAGUCACACUCUCCUAGAGCACAGCCAUCAUCUCCCAGGCAUCACAGGCCUGGUCACAUGGGAUGCUACCCUCUACCUUGCAGAAUGGGCCAUCGAGAACCCGGCAGCCUUCACUCAUAGGACUGUCCUAGAGCUUGGCAGUGGUGCUGGCCUCACAGCCCUGGCCAUCUGCAAGAUGUGCCGCCCCCGGGCAUACAUCUUCAGCGACUGUCACAGCCGGGUCCUCAAACAGCUCCGAGGGAAUGUCCUUCUCAAUGGCCUCUCAUUAGAGGCAGACAUCACUGCCAACUUAGCCCCAGAGUGACAGUGGCCCAGCUGGACUGGGACAUCGCGAUGGUCCAUCAGCUCUCUGCCAUCCAGCCAGAUGUUGUCAUUGCAGCAGACGUGCUGUAUUGCCCAGAAGCCAUCGUGUUGCUGGUCGGGGUCCUGCUGAGGCUGGCUGCCUGCCGGGAGCACCAGCGGGCUCCUGAGGUCUAUGUGGCCUUUACUGUCCGCAACCCAGAGACAUGCCAGCUGUUCACCACCGAGCUAGGCCAGGCCAGGAUCAGAUGGGAAGUGGAACCUCGUCAUGACCAGAAACUGUUUCCCUAUGAAGAGCACUUGGAGAUGGCAAUGCUGAACCUCACACUGUAG